rnacentral:snRNA from 1 species
GUGCUCGCUUCGCCAGCACAUAUACUAAAAUUGGAACGGUACAGAGGUUAGCAUGGCCCUGCGCAAGGAUGACAUGCAAAUUCGUGAAGCGUUCCAUAUAAAA